rnacentral:rRNA from 1 species
CCGGGUGGCUGCAGUGGGGGAUAUUGCACAAUGGGGGGAACCCUGAUGCAGCGACGCCGCGUGGGUGAAGGAGCGUUUCGGCGCGUAAAGCCCUAUCGGCAGGGAAGAAGAUGACGGUACCUGACCAAGAAGCCCCGGCUAACUACGUGCCAGCAGCCGCGGUAAUACGUAGGGGGCAAGCGUUAUCCGGAUUUACUGGGUGUAAAGGGGGCGUAGACGGCAGCACAAGUCUGGAGUGAAAUGCCGGGGCUUAACCCCGGAACUGCUUUGGAAACUGUGCAGCUAGAGUGCAGGAGAGGUAAGUGGAAUUCCUAGUGUAGCGGUGAAAUGCGUAGAUAUUAGGAGGAACACCAGUGGCGAAGGCGGCUUACUGGACUGUAACUGACGUUGAGGCUCGAAAGCGUGGGGAGCAAACAGGAUUAGAUACCCCAGUAGUC